UGGCACGUAACCGCCCAUGAUGGCGGGCAGGAUCGAGAUCCACAAUAACGGGAGAGAUAUCAUCUACGGGCAGUGGAUCGGCGAUUAAUUUGUUUCCCUAAACGCUCGAAAAAGUUUCGUUGUGAAUUUUUUUCACAUGGAAAAGCGGUCAACGAAGGCGCAUUUCUAUUCGGUUUAGAAGAAAGCCGAGAAGACUGGCUGCGAUUGGUGAACAUUUGUGAAAGUUAGAUUUCCUGACUUGUUUUACGAGCUACAGUGACAUCUAUUGGCUUGUUCGUCGUAGUCGUCUCUUUACCAACCUUGGGUUACGUAGAUCGACACCGUUUAGAGACUUACGAAGAUUUUUCCGAGGAACGACUUGGCGAUUUGGAUUUUUUUAACAACCUGACCUUUCGAUUCUCUUGCGAGGGCAAACCGAUUGGCCUGUACGCGGAUCUAGAAUACGAUUGCCGAAUUUUCCACGCUUGCGAUGAUUCGGGAAAAGGUUUCCCCGUCGUCUGUCCGAACGAUACGUUUUUCGAUCAACGGGAACGCGUGUGCAGCGACGAAGAACACGUGGACUGUGAACACGCGAACGAAUGGUUUUAUUUAAACGAGUUGCCAUUCUCGGUGGAAGAGACGGAGGAGAAUCACGCUCGAACAGA
rnacentral:misc_RNA from 1 species